GACGAACGCUGGCGGCGUGCUUAACACAUGCAAGUCGAACGGAAAGGCCCUGCUUUUGUGGGGUGCUCGAGUGGCGAACGUGUGAGUAACACGUGAGUAACCUGCCCUUUACUUUGGGAUAACUUCAGUAAACUGGGGCUAAUACCGGAUAGGAGCUCCUGCUGCAUGGUGGGGGUUGGAAAGUUUCGGCGGUUGGGGAUGGACUCGCGGCUUAUCAGCUUGUUGGUGGGGUAGUGGCUUACCAAGGCUUUGACGGGUAGCCGGCCUGAGAGGGUGACCGGCCACAUUGGGACUGAGAUACGGCCCAGACUCCUACGGGAGGCAGCAGUGGGGAAUAUUGCACAAUGGGCGGAAGCCUGAUGCAGCAACGCCGCGUGCGGGAUGACGGCCUUCGGGUUGCAAACCGCUUUCGCCUGUGACGAAGCGUGAGUGACGGUAAUGGGUAAAGAAGCACCGGCUAACUACGUG
rnacentral:rRNA from 1 species